rnacentral:rRNA from 1 species
UACGUAGGGUGCAAGCGUUGCUCGGAAUUACUGGGCGUAAAGCGUGCGCAGGCGGUUUUGUAAGUCUGAGGUGAAAUCCCCGGGCUUAACCUGGGAAUGGCGAUGGAGACUGCAAGGCUAGAGUUUGGCAGAGGGGGGUAGAAUUCCACGUGUAGCAGUGAAAUGCGUAGAGAUGUGGAGGAACACCGAUGGCGAAGGCAGCCCCCUGGGUCAAAACUGACGCUCAUGCACGAAAGCGUGGGGAGCAAACAGG